UCAGACGUGGUGUAUGGAACAUUGCCUCCCAAUAUUUGCCACUUCAUGAGCAUAUGAGGCAGUCCGGGGUUCGAUUCCCUGUGUCGGAA